CCUACGGGAGGCAGCAGUGGGGAAUUUUGGACAAUGGGCGAAAGCCUGAUCCAGCAAUGCCGCGUGCAGGAUGAAGGCCUUCGGGUUGUAAACUGCUUUUGUACGGAGCGAAAAGGUUCUCUUUAAUAAAGAGGAUCCAUGACGGUACCGUAAGAAUAAGCACCGGCUAACUACGUGCCAGCAGCCGCGGUAAUACGUAGGGUGCAAGCGUUAAUCGGAAUUACUGGGCGUAAAGCGUGCGCAGGCGGUUAUAUAAGACAGUUGUGAAAUCCCCGGGCUCAACCUGGGAACUGCAUCUGUGACUGUAUAGCUAGAGUACGGUAGAGGGGGAUGGAAUUCCGCGUGUAGCAGUGAAAUGCGUAGAUAUGCGGAGGAACACCGAUGGCGAAGGCAAUCCCCUGGACCUGUACUGACGCUCAUGCACGAAAGCGUGGGGAGCAAACAGGAUUAGAUACCCUGGUAGUCCACGCCCUAAACGAUGUCAACUGGUUGUUGGGUCUUCACUGACUCAGUAACGAAGCUAACGCGUGAAGUUGACCGCCUGGGGAGUACGGCCGCAAGGUUGAAACGUCAAAGAGUAGUAGG
rnacentral:rRNA from 1 species